rnacentral:rRNA from 1 species
UGGGGAAUAUUGCGCAAUGGGCGAAAGCCUGACGCAGCGACGCCGCGUGGGGGAUGAAGGCCUUCGGGUUGUAAACCCCUUUCAGCAGGGACGAAGCGAGAGUGACGGUACCUGCAGAAGAAGCGCCGGCUAACUACGUGCCAGCAGCCGCGGUAACACGUAGGGCGCAAGCGUUGUCCGGAAUUAUUGGGCGUAAAGAGCUCGUAGGUGGUUUGUUACGUCCGCUGUGAAAACCUAGGGCUUAACCCUGGGCUUGCAGUGGAUACGGGCAGACUAGAGGUAGGUAGGGGAGAAUGGAAUUCCUGGUGUAGCGGUGAAAUGCGCAGAUAUCAGGAGGAACACCGGUGGCGAAGGCGGUUCUCUGGGCCUUACCUGACACUGAGGAGCGAAAGCGUGGGGAGCGAACAG